rnacentral:rRNA from 1 species
GACGAACGCUGGCGGCGUGCUUAACACAUGCAAGUCGAACGGAAAGGCCCUGCUUGCAGGGUAUUCGAGUGGCGAACGGGUGAGUAACACGUGGGUGAUCUGCCCUGCACUUCGGGAUAAGCCUGGGAAACUGGGUCUAAUACCGGAUAGGAGCCAUUUUUAGUGUGAUGGUUGGAAAGUUUUUUCGGUGUAGGAUGAGCUCGCGGCCUAUCAGCUUGUUGGUGGGGUAAUGGCCUACCAAGGCGGCGACGGGUAGCCGGCCUGAGAGGGUGGACGGCCACAUUGGGACUGAGAUACGGCCCAGACUCCGACGGGAGGCAGCAGUGGGGAAUAUUGCACAAUGGGCGCAAGCCUGAUGCAGCGACGCCGCGUGGGGGAUGACGGCCUUCGGGUUGUAAACUCCUUUCGCUAGGGACGAAGCUUUUUGUGACGGUACCUAGAUAAGAAGCACCGGCUAACUACGUG